UACGAAGGGGGCUAGCGUUGCUCGGAAUUACUGGGCGUAAAGGGCGCGUAGGCGGACAUUUAAGUCAGGGGUGAAAUCCCAGAGCUCAACUCUGGAACUGCCUUUGAUACUGGGUGUCUUGAGUGUGAGAGAGGUAUGUGGAACUCCGAGUGUAGAGGUGAAACUCGUAGAUAUUCGGAAGAACACCAGUGGCGAAGGCGACAUACUGGCUCAUUACUGACGCUGAGGCUCGAAAGCGUGGGGAGCAAACAGG
rnacentral:rRNA from 1 species